rnacentral:rRNA from 1 species
GAUCAAGCGACUAAGUGCAUGUGGUGGAUGCCUUGGCGAUCACAGGCGAUGAAGGACGUGUAAGCCUGCGAAAAGCGUGGGGGAGCUGGCAAUAGAGCUUUGAUCCCACGAUGUCCGAAUGGGGAAACCCACCCCGCAAGGGGUAUCCCAGACUGAAUCCAUAGGUCUGAGGAGGCGAACCGAGCGAACUGAAACAUCUAAGUAGCUCGAGGAACAGAAAUCAACCGAGAUUGCGCAAGUAGUGGCGAGCGAACGCGCAACAGCCUGCACGACUAAACCAUCAGCUUAGCAAAACGGUCUGGAAAGUCCGACGAUACAGGGUGAUAGUCCCGUAUGCGAAAAGCCGGUGGCGGGUCUGAGCGUGCGACAAGUAGGGCGGGACACGAGAAAUCCUGUCUGAAGAUGGGGGGACCAUCCUCCAAGGCUAAAUACUCGUGAUCGACCGAUAGUGAACCAGUACCGUGAGGGAAAGGCGAAAAGAACCCCGGGAGGGGAGUGAAAUAGAUCCUGAAACCGCAUGCAUACAAACAGUGGGAGCCUCGUAAGGGGUGACUGCGUACCUUUUGUAUAAUGGGUCAGCGACUUACGUUCAGUAGCGAGCUUAACCGAAUAGGGGAGGCGUAGCGAAAGCGAGUCUGAUAAGGGCGUCGUAGUUGCUGGGCGUAGACCCGAAACCGGAUGAUCUAUCCAUGGCCAGGAUGAAGGUGCCGUAACAGGUACUGGAGGUCCGAACCCACUAACGUUGAAAAGUUAGGGGAUGAGCUGUGGAUAGGGGUGAAAGGCUAAACAAAUCCGGAAAUAGCUGGUUCUCCCCGAAAACUAUUUAGGUAGUGCGUCGUACGGACACUUGCGGGGGUAGAGCACUGUAAUCGUUGGGGGGGUCAUUGCGAUCUACCCCGCGAUAGCAAACUCCGAAUACCGCAAAGUGAUAUACGGCAGACAGACAUCGGGUGCUAACGUCCGGUGUCAAGAGGGAAACAACCCAGACCGCCAGCUAAGGUCCCAAAUGCAUGGCUAAGUGGCAAACGAGGUGGGAAGGCCUAGACAGCUAGGAGGUUGGCUUAGAAGCAGCCACCCUUUAAAGAAAGCGUAAUAGCUCACUAGUCGAGUCGUCCUGCGCGGAAGAUGUAACGGGGCUCAAGCCAUGAACCGAAGCUGCGGAUGUGUCUUUGACACGUGGUAGGGGAGCGUUCCGUAAGCCUGCGAAGGUGUCUCGUAAGGGAUGCUGGAGGUAUCGGAAGUGCGAAUGCUGACAUGAGUAGCGAUAAAGGGUGUGAAAAGCACCCUCGCCGUAAGCCCAAGGUUUCCUGCGCAACGUUCAUCGGCGCAGGGUGAGUCGGCCCCUAAGGCGAGGCAGAAAUGCGUAGUCGAUGGGAAACAGGUCAAUAUUCCUGUACCGCUCUAUGAUGCGAUGGGGGGACGGAGAAGGUUAGCUCGGCCAUCUGUUGGAAUAGGUGGUUCAAGUGUGUAGGCGUGCUGCGUAGGCAAAUCCGCGCGGCUAAGCUGAGGCAUGAUAACGAGGACCCUCGGGUCCGAAGCGAGUGAUACCCAGCUUCCAGGAAAAGCCUCUAAGCUUCAGUCAUAGAGUGACCGUACCGCAAACCGACACAGGUGGGCUGGUAGAGAAUACCAAGGCGCUUGAGAGAACUCAGGAGAAGGAACUCGGCAAAUUGAUACCGUAACUUCGGGAGAAGGUAUGCCCCGUUAGCUUGUAGGAGAACAUCCGAAGGGCGAAGGGGCCGCAGAGAAUCGGUGGCUGCGACUGUUUAUUAAAAACACAGCACUCUGCAAACACGAAAGUGGACGUAUAGGGUGUGACGCCUGCCCGGUGCCGGAAGGUUAAGUGAUGGGGUGCAAGCUCUUGAUCGAAGCCCCGGUAAACGGCGGCCGUAACUAUAACGGUCCUAAGGUAGCGAAAUUCCUUGUCGGGUAAGUUCCGACCUGCACGAAUGGCGUAACGAUGGCCACACUGUCUCCUCCUGAGACUCAGCGAAGUUGAAAUGUUUGUGAAGAUGCAAUCUCCCCGCGGCUAGACGGAAAGACCCCAUGAACCUUUACUGUAGCUUUGCAUUGGACUUUGACGGGACUUGUGUAGGAUAGGUGGGAGGCUUUGAAGCCGGGACGCUAGUUCCGGUGGAGCCAACCUUGAAAUACCACCCUGGUGUCGUCGAGGUUCUAACCCAGGCCUGUGAAUCCAGGUCGGGGACCGUGCAUGGUGGGCAGUUUGACUGGGGCGGUCUCCUCCCAAAAGGUAACGGAGGAGUACGAAGGUCACCUAGGUACGGUCGGACAUCGUACUGAUAGUGCAAUGGCAAAAGGUGGCUUGACUGCGAGACCCACACGUCGAGCAGGUGCGAAAGCAGGUCAUAGUGAUCCGGUGGUUCUGUAUGGAAGGGCCAUCGCUCAACGGAUAAAAGGUACUCUGGGGAUAACAGGCUGAUUCCGCCCAAGAGUUCACAUCGACGGCGGAGUUUGGCACCUCGAUGUCGGCUCAUCACAUCCUGGGGCUGUAGCCGGUCCCAAGGGUAUGGCUGUUCGCCAUUUAAAGUGGUACGUGAGCUGGGUUUAAAACGUCGUGAGACAGUUUGGUCCCUAUCUGCCGUGGGCGCUGGAAGUUUGAGAGGGCCUGCUCCUAGUACGAGAGGACCGGAGUGGACGCACCCCUGGUGUACCGGUUGUGACGCCAGUCGCAUCGCCGGGUAGCUAUGUGCGGAAGAGAUAACCGCUGAAAGCAUCUAAGCGGGAAACUCGCCUCAAGAUGAGACUUCCCCGGGGCCUCGAGCCCCCUGAAGGGUCGUUGAAGACCACAACGUUGAUAGGCCGGGUGUGCAAGCGUGGCAACACGUUCAGCUAACCGGUACUAAUUGCCCGUGCGGCUUGAUCCU